AGGAAGACGUGAUCCAGGCAACAGGAUAUUCCAGUAUAGACACUCCAGGAAAAACAAAAUCUUUUAAUCAGCAAAAUCCAUCAUAUUACUUAAGUCACAGAUGCUCACCAAGGAGAAGAGGUCAUUCUGUAAUCCAAGUCGAUCCACAGGGGGCAGAGAAAGGUCACGAAUGCCUGGUAAUAAACUUUCCAGCAUGGCAGAGCUGUACUGGGUCCGAUAAAACCCAACUGUUCCUAAGUUUAACUGCAAAGAUAUCCAGUAAGUACUAUUAAACAGCUCCAUUAAUUUUUUAAA
rnacentral:antisense_RNA from 1 species